UGCAGAUGAUGUAAGCGAAUAUUUGCUAUCAUAAUAUCAGUGAUGACAACUAUUAUCACCAAGAUCGCUGAUGCA